rnacentral:lncRNA from 1 species
AGACCACUACGGUGACUUGUAAGCAACUCACUAUACUUUAGUAUUGGACUACCUAAGUUUCUAACUUAGUGACGGAAGGAUAUUAGGUAUAGUCAAGUACUUAUCAAGUCGGUGUGUGAGUCAAGAUGAAAUUGACCCAUCUGAAUUAGUAGGAGAUAUGCAUCAGUGUAUUUCAAUUUAGCAAAGUCUUGGCUAGGAUAAUCCAUGAGAUGAAUUUGAAAGGUUAAAAUAUAAUAUGGAUAACUUAAUUAGGGUUGACAAUUAAAUCCUAAGUCACCUUG